AGUGAACGCUGGCGGUAGGCCUAACACAUGCAAGUCGAACGGCAGCACAGUAAGAGCUUGCUCUUACGGGUGUCGAGUGGCGGACGGUUGAGUAAUACAUCGGAAUCUACUUUUUCGUUGGUGAUAACGUAGGGAAACUUACGCUAAUACCGCAUACAUCCUCCUGGUGAAAGCAGGCGUUCUUCGGACCUUUCGCGAUUGAUUGAGCCGAUGUCGGAUUAGCUAGUUGGCGGGGUAAAGGCCCACCAAGGCGACGAUCCGUAGCUGGUCUGAGAGGAUGAUCCGGCACACUGGAACUGAGAAACGGUCCAGACUCCUACGGGAGGAAGCAGUCGGGAAUACUGGACAAUGGGGGAGAGCCUGAUCCAGCCAUACCGCGUGGGUGAUGAAGGACUUAGGGUUGUAAAGUGCUGUUGUUGGGAAAGAAAAGAAGCAGGUUCAUCCCGCGCUGUUCUGACGGUACCCAAAGAAUAAGCACCGGCUAACUUCGUG
rnacentral:rRNA from 1 species